rnacentral:rRNA from 1 species
AUUGAACGCUGGCGGCAGGCCUAACACAUGCAAGUCGAACGAGUGGCGGACGGGUGAGUAAUGUCUGGGAAACUGCCCGAUGGAGGGGGAUAACUACUGGAAACGGUAGCUAAUACCGCAUACCAUCGGAUGUGCCCAGAUGGGAUUAGCUAGUCGGUGGGGUAACGGCUCACCGAGGCGAAGAUCCCUAGCUGGUCUGCGAGGAUGACUAGCCACACUGGAACUGAGACACGGUCCAGACUCCUACGGUAGUCAGCAGUGGGGAAUAUGGCACAAUGGGCGCAAGCCUGAUGCAGCCAUGCCGCGUGUAUGAAGAAGGCCUUCGGGUUGUAAAGUACUUUCAGCGAGGAGGCGUUGCUCGCAGAAGAAGCACCGGGUAACGACGUGCCAGCAGCCGCGGUAAUUC